ensembl:piRNA 21ur-8616 ncRNA
UUUCAUCCACUAAUUACGAAA